rnacentral:rRNA from 1 species
CAUUCGAACGCACAUUGCAGCCAUUGGAUAUCCAUUGGCUUUGUUUGUCUGAGCGUCGUUAUAUCUUGUAAGAGAUAAAAAAAUCUUUCGUGAAUUCUCCCAUUCUCGUCAGAUUACGUACGUAAUGUGUGAAAUGCUGACUCUUGGAGGUACGAUCCAAAGAGUAUUUUGGCGUCUCCAGCUAAAAUUCUCUAGUGCCUUCUGCUCUCCCCUCGAGAGAGAGAGAGAGAGAUCAGCUGAGUAUGUUACUGUUAUUCGUCUUUAGUCGACCUCAGAUCAAGCAAGAUUACCCGCUGAAUUUAAG